UGUUAAAUCUCACUUUAUGAUUCUUUUUCAUUUUAUGUGUGCGUUGCUGUUGUUUAUCUUCCAUAUUUUUGUUUCCUUUUUGCCUUUUUCCAUUGAAAUCUGUAUAUGCUUAUUUAGCAGGCAUUGAAGGUUACUGGAAAGAAUGUUAAUAUCGAAGAGAGUAUAAUGGAAGAUGGGGACUGGGGAGGUUUACGAGCAAAAAUUAGGGAGCGGGAAUCUCCAUCACGAUCCCACCAUCAGCCCUGGCCUCGGUUCCCCUCGCUGCCCUCGCUGUCUCUCCCUCUUAAACCCCAAUUCAGAAAAGGGGGAAUGGACUAUCACUUCCGUUUUACAUGAUGCCACUGCUGUGAUAAUCUACCCUGUUUCGGCUAUUUGCUGCUUUUCUUAAUUUGGUGAUCUACAGUAAAGGCUCUAGGGUAUAUUGAUUUGAGAGUUGAGGCAUUCCUCAAGUUGUUUGAAAAUAAAAUUUAUGAGAUGACUGAUGUGGAGUUCAAGGUAAGAUCAGAGAUAAAUAGUCUCAUAACAGAGUACCAUUUUUUUUUCUGCAUAUUUAUUUGGACUUCAUCUUGAAGAACUUGAUCAGACUAUGAACACAACAAAAAUUUAUUGGGAGAUCCAAUUAUGACACGGAAAUGAACAUGCGUAGCCUAAACAAGACAUGAUAUAAACUAGUUUAAAGAUAAAUUCAUUAAUGACUACUUUGAGUUUUACUUCAAUAUAUAAGAAUUGGUGCACCUCAGAAGAGGACAUUCAGCAUACAUGUUUAUGGGAGCCUACAUUCACUCGAGUACACAUCAGAUACAGGUGAGCAAGCUCAGCCGAACAAGGUUCAGAUAGAGGAUAUUUUUAGUUUCAGAAGAUCACUACCGCUUCACAGUUCCUUCAAAGAUGCGCUGGUCGUACAAAGCUGUAAGGAUUGAACUUGUUUUCGUUUUUAGACCAAAGACAUUGAUGGAUAAGCUUCUCAAUUUCAAGUUAUAUAAUUGCUUUUGUUAGCUAUUUUAACAUAUUAAAACUAUGUUUAGAUACCAGUGCUUUGCUAGAAGUUAUCAGCUCAAUUUUUAUGUGUAUAAUUGUUGAUUUAAUUUUGACAUUAAUUUGUAACUAAAAUAGGUUGGCUCAGGUAUUGGCGGAAUGCCUUAGUGCGGUUCUUGGUUUCAAUACAGGCACGACCAGUUUCCUUUGUCUUGUUAAGCUACGUAUAUGACUUGUCUUUGCACAAUUUUAAGCACUGUUAUAUUUUAGGGAUCCCACUCCUUCAAAAUUGUCUCAAGGGACCAAAAUGGCUGCCUUUUGUAGUUGGGGUAGGUCUUCUACUGUUAUUAAUUUUCAUUUUGAAUCUUUUGAUCAAGAAAGGCCUACCAUUUGUUUCUGGAAAUAAAUGACCAGUAUCAUCUUAGGCCUACUGUUUUCUUUUUUACUUCCAUUCUUACCUCCCUGUUUACUCUUUUUUCCCACUCUGAUCUUUCUAGCUAACAAAGUUGGCUUGAAAUUCUGCUGUAGUUAAGAACAUGGGAGCUCCUGCAUUGUAAUAGAACCAUUUUCUACACUUGAAAAAUGUUAGUCUGUUAUGAAAUUGCUUACACGGUUACAGUUUGUGAUCUUAACCAUUUGAUCUCUGCAACCAUGAGUGCAGUGUGCGUGAUCUUUGUGCUGUUCUUGGAAUGGAUUUCUUCAGUAUCAUAACUAAAGUUCAUCCAAGCUUAAAUGACUCUACUAGGGUGCACUCCUGAAGCAUGAGUAAUGAUACAUUAGCAAGGGUGGCUAAGACGGUCUUAACACUAAAAGAUAAGAAGCAAAGGCUUCAUAAGGAUUCCAGUCUUGUAUGGUAUUGAGUACUGACUUUCCCUUUUCUUCAAGAAAAGACUUAACCUUUAGAAUACAAGCAAAUCAAAAUUCAGCAAUGGAGAGAUUCCGGAAAGGAUAACUUGAUUCUGCUUAGACCCUUACAAUUUCACAUGAGCAUACUUGAAGAAACUUCAACCAUUUCAAUAAGUUUGUGCAUGCUUGUUAUCGCCAAUAUCAUAGCAUAUGAAGAAACUUUUUCUUUUCUUUGUAAUUUACUUUUGAAGAAUUACAUUUGUUAAUGUUUUCUAGUACAUUCAUAUUUUUCUUUAAAAUAUUUUCGUAUUAUAAAAUUAUAGGUGUAAUAACAAUAU